UGGGGAAUAUUGGACAAUGGGCGAAAGCCUGAUCCAGCCAUGCCGCGUGUGUGAAGAAGGCCUUAUGGUUGUAAAGCACUUUAAGCGAGGAGGAGGGUACUGGUAUUAAUACUACCAGGUACUGGACGUUACUCGCAGAAUAAGCACCGGCUAACUCUGUGCCAGCAGCCGCGGUAAUACAGAGGGUGCGAGCGUUAAUCGGAUUUACUGGGCGUAAAGCGUGCGUAGGCGGCUAAUUGAGUCGGAUGUGAAAUCCCCGAGCUUAACUUGGGAAUUGCAUUCGAUACUGGUUAGCUAGAGUGUGGGAGAGGAUGGUAGAAUUCCAGGUGUAGCGGUGAAAUGCGUAGAUAUAGGAAGGAACACCAGUGGCGAAGGCGACCACCUGGGCUCAUACUGACACUGAGGUGCGAAAGCGUGGGGAGCAAACAGG
rnacentral:rRNA from 1 species